AAUAUGGAGGGGCCGAAUCAGAUAAUUGUAACGGUACUUUACCGUAUUUCAAUGAUUUGUACGGGGGACGCAUUUUCGCUGAUGGCCUUAUUCAGACAAUCAGCUAGGGGUGAAUUUUGAAUACUCAUUUCGUUACCAGUCGGAAUGAUGUAGAAAAUAGGGUUUCCUCAACCCGAACCCGACAACUAACCUCGGAGGCAAUACAUUUUCUAGGA
rfam:Bacillus sp. FJAT-26390 scaffold4, whole genome shotgun sequence.